rnacentral:rRNA from 1 species
GAUCCUGGCUCAGGACGAACGCUGGCGGCGUGCCUAAUACAUGCAAGUCGAACGGAAGCAAAGAUUUCGGUUUUUGCUUUAGUGGCGAACGGGUGAGUAACGCGUGAGGAACCUGCCUUUCAGUGGGGGACAACAGUUGGAAACGACUGCUAAUACCGCAUAAUGCUUUUGAGUGGCAUCACUUAAAAGCCAAAGAUUUAUUGCUGAAAGAUGGCCUCGCGUCUGAUUAGCUGGUUGGCGGGGUAACGG